rnacentral:rRNA from 1 species
GGCCUAACACAUGCAAGUCGAGCGGUAGCGGGCCUGACCACUCUCGAGUGGUUCAGGCGCCGACGAGCGGCGGACGGGUGCGUAACACGUAGGAAUCUGCCCGGUAGUGGGGGAUAGCCCGGAGAAAUUCGGAUUAAUACCGCAUACGCCCUAUGGGGGAAAGCAGGGGAUCGGUUCGCCGACCUUGCGCUAUCGGAUGAGCCUGCGUCGGAUUAGCUAGUUGGUGGGGUAAAGGCCUACCAAGGCGACGAUCCGUAGCUGGUCUGAGAGGAUGAUCAGCCACACUGGGACUGAGACACGGCCCAGACUCCUACGGGAGGCAGCAGUGGGGAAUAUUGCACAAUGGGCGAAAGCCUGAUGCAGCCAUGCCGCGUGUGUGAAGAAGGCCCUAGGGUUGUAAAGCACUUUCAGUGGGGAGGAAAGGUCGAAGGUUAAUACCCUUUGGCUGUGACGUUACCCACAG